GCAGAAGAAGCUCCGGCUAACUACGUGCCAGCAGCCGCGGUAAUACGUAGGGGGCGAGCGUUAUCCGGAUUCAUUGGGCGUAAAGCGCGCGUAGGCGGCCGCCUAAGCGGAACCUCUAACCCCGGGGCUCAACCUCGGGCCGGGUUCCGGACUGGGCGGCUCGAGUGCGGUAGAGGAGAGCGGAAUUCCCGGUGUAGCGGUGGAAUGCGCAGAUAUCGGGAAGAACACCGAUGGCGAAGGCAGCUCUCUGGGCCGUCACUGACGCUGAGGCGCGAAA
rnacentral:rRNA from 1 species